CGGGCGCCUGGAACAAGUGAGGUUACGUAAUACUUUUUUUGGAUUAAUUACACAAAUAAGUGAUUUAUUUUUCACUAUCUGAGACAAAGAGUGUCGGAAUUACCACACGAGUUGUACUGAAGGGAAAAUGCGAUUUUAAGGACUUUGCACAAGGCAGCCACAUAUGGCGCAUAAAAUUCCUUUGUGGGAAAUUUCCAAAAAUCGCAAGAUUUUAAUACAAUUAAAUGCACAAUGGUAUUAACUACUUUCGGAACAGGUGGCCGAAAUUUAUAAUUUUGCAAUUUUUAAACGAUUUUCGAUUACAUGGCGAAAUUUUCAGUGACAAUGGAUGAAUGGAAGCACCAGUGUCACGCAAAAAAAUUAAAGAUAUUGAGUUUCUAGUGUACUAAAAUAACGAAUAAAGUAUUAAUUACC